rnacentral:tRNA from 1 species
UCUUCCGUAGUAUAGUGGUCAGUAUGUGAGCUUGUCAUUCAACCCGACAUCGCUCGAGACCCGGGUUCAAUUCCCGGCGGGAGAG